UUGCUACGCCACACCCACACGGGUACUCAGCAGUGAAUAACAUUAAGAAAUGAGCGAAAGCUCGACUUAGUUAUGAUAAAUAUGGCCGGUAAAUUUCGUGCCAGCCACCGCGGUUAUACGAGAGGCCAAAGACAACGACCAACGGCGUAAAGCGUGACUAGGGUCCGUCAAAAAUUUAAAGUAGUAUUGUAUCAAAGUUGUAAAAUACCUUGAUCACCAGACCAUCAACAACAAAGUGACUUUAAACAAAAGGCAUCCUGACCUCACGAAAGCUAAGAAACAAACUAGGAUUAGAUACCCUACUAUGCUUAGCCCUAAACAUAGAUAGCAGGCACACAAUGCUAUCCGCCAGAGAACUACAAGUGAAAAACUAGAAACUCCAAGGACUUGGCGGUGCUCCAUACCGUCCUAGAGGAGCCUGUCCUGUAAUCGAUAAUCCACGUUAUACCUCACCACCCCUUGCAACUCAGCCUAUAUACCGCCGUCGUCAGCCUACCUUGUGAAAGGAAAAAAGUAGGCAAAAUAGUUAACAACUAAAACGUCAGGUCAAGGUGUAGCCCAUGGGGUGGAAGAGAUGGGCUACACUUUCUAUCACAGAACACACGAAUAGCACAAUGAAACCUGUGCUUGAAGGCGGAUUUAGUAGUAAGAUAAAAAGAGAGCUUAUCUGAACCCCGCUCUGGAGCGCGCACACACCGCCCGUCACCCUCAUCACACAAACCUCUUAUACUAAAAUAUAAAGC
rnacentral:rRNA from 1 species